AUUGAACGCUGGCGGCAGGCCUAACACAUGCAAUUCGAACGAGUGGCGGACGGGUGAGUAAUGUCUGGGAAACUGCCUGAUGGAGGGGGAUAACUACUGGAAACGGUAGCUAAUACCGCAUACCAUCAGAUGUGCCCAGAUGGGAUUAGCUAGUAGGUGGGGUAACGGCUCACCACGGCGACGAUCCCUAGCUGGGCUGAGAGGAUGACCAGCCAAACUGGAACUGAGACACGGUCCAGACUCCUACGGUAGGCAGCAGUGGGGAAUAUUGCACAAUGGGCGCAAGCCUGAUGCAGCCAUGCCGAGUGUAUGAAGAAGGCCUUCGGGUUGUAAAGUACUUUCAGCGGGGAGGCGUUACCCGCAGAAGAAGCACCGGCUAACUCCGUGCCAGCAGCCGCGGUAAUUC
rnacentral:rRNA from 1 species